UGGUGUCUUGACCUUUGCCGUGGAGGUGACAUAUCACUAUCAGCACCUUCUCUCAAAGGCUUCACCCUCCGUUUUGGUGAAGGUGUAUCAUUUCUCGCCCUUCGUUUCCGAGGUGGUGAUAGACCAGCACCUGCCCUGUUUGCUAAAGGUUCUGGUGAAGGUGUGUCAUUCCGAACCCUCCGUUUCCUUGGAGGAGAUAAAUCAGUACCAUCUGUUCGGUUUACUAAAGGUUCUGGUGAAGGUGUGUCAUUCCGAACCCUACGUUUCCUAGGAGGAGAUAAAUCAGUACCAUCUGCUCUGUUUACUAAAGCUUCUGGUGAGGGUGUGUCAUUCCUAACCCUCCGCUUCCGAGGAGGAGAUAAAUCAGAACCACCUCUAGAAGCCUUAAGUCGAGGUUCUGGUGAAUCAGCCCGAGCUGGCCUCCUGCAAGGAGGUGACAAAUCAGAAUCUUCUCUUGUU
rnacentral:lncRNA from 1 species